UACGUAGGGUGCAAGCGUUAAUCGGAAUUACUGGGCGUAAAGCGUGCGCAGGCGGCUUUGCAAGACAGAUGUGAAAUCCCCGGGCUCAACCUGGGAACUGCAUUUGUGACUGCAUGGCCAGAGUACGGUAGAGGGGGAUGGAAUUCCGCGUGUAGCAGUGAAAUGCGUAGAUAUGCGGAGGAACACCGAUGGCGAAGGCAAUCCCCUGGACCUGUACUGACGCUCAUGCACGAAAGCGUGGGGAGCAAACAGG
rnacentral:rRNA from 1 species